AUUGAACGCUGGCGGCAUGCUUUACACAUGCCAGUCGAACGGCAGCGCGGGCUUCGGCCUGGCGGCGAGUGGCGAACGGGUGAGUAAUGCAUCGGAACGUGCCCAGUAGUGGGGGAUAGCCCGGCGAAAGCCGGAUUAAUACCGCAUACGACCUGAGGGUGAAAGCGGGGGACCGAAAGGCCUCGCGCUAUUGGAGCGGCCGAUGUCGGAUUAGCUAGUUGGUGGGGUAAAGGCUUACCAAGGCGACGAUCCGUAGCUGGUCUGAGAGGACGACCAGCCACACUGGGACUGAGACACGGCCCAGACUCCUACGGGAGGCAGCAGUGGGGAAUUUUGGACAAUGGGGGCAACCCUGAUCCAGCCAUGCCGCGUGCGGGAAGAAGGCCUUCGGGUUGUAAACCGCUUUUGUUCGGGAAGAAAUCCUCUGGGCUAAUACCCCGGGGGGAGGACGGUACCGGAAGAAUAAGCACCGGCUAACUACGU
rnacentral:rRNA from 1 species